UACGGAGGGGGCUAGCGUUGUUCGGAAUUACUGGGCGUAAAGGGCGCGUAGGCGGCCACCGCAAGUCAAUUGUGAAAUCUCCGGGCUUAACUCGGAAAGGUCAACUGAUACUGCGGGGCUAGAGUGCGGAAGGGGCAACUGGAAUUCUCGGUGUAGCGGUGAAAUGCGUAGAUAUGCGGAGGAACACCGAUGGCGAAGGCAAUCCCCUGGACCUGUACUGACGCUCAUGCACGAAAGCGUGGGGAGCAACAGG
rnacentral:rRNA from 1 species